rnacentral:rRNA from 1 species
UACAGAGGUCUCAAGCGUUAAUCGGAAUCACUGGGCUUAAAGGGUGCGUAGGCGGGCCUGUAAGUGCUUUGUGAAAUCCCAUGGCUCAACCAUGGAAUUGCUCGGCAUACUGCAGGCCUUGAGGUCGGUAGGGGUUGCCGGAACUCUAGGUGGAGCGGUGAAAUGCGUAGAUAUCUAGAGGAACGCCGAAGGUGAAGACAGGCAACUGGGCCGAUUCUGACGCUGAGGCACGAAAGCGUGGGGAGCAAACGGG